AGCGGCGGACGGGUGAGUAAAGCCUAGGAAUCUGCCUGGUAGUGGGGGAUAACGUCGGAAACGGACGCUAAUNCGCAUACGUCUACGGGAGAAAGCAGGGGACCUUCGGGCCCUUGCGCUAUCAGAUGAGCCUAGGUCGGAUUAGAUAGUUGGUGAGGUAAUGGCUCACCAAGGCGACGAUCCGUAACUGGUCUGAGAGGAUGAUCAGUCACACUGGAACUGAGACACGGUCCAGACUCCUACGGGAGGCAGCAGUGGGGAAUAUUGGACAAUGGGCGAAAGCCUGAUCCAGCCAUGCCGCGUGUGUGAAGAAGGUCUUCGGAUUGUAAAGCACUUUAAGUUGGGAGGAAGGGCAUUAACCUAAUACGUUAGUGUUUUGACGUUACCGACAGAAUAAGCACCGGCUAACUCUGUGCCAGCAGCCGCGGUAAUACAGAGGGUGCAAGCGUUAAUCGGAAUUACUGGGCGUAAAGCGCGCGUAGGUGGUUUGUUAAGUUGGAUGUGAAAUCCCCGGGCUCAACCUGGGAACUGCAUUCAAAACUGACUGACUAGAGUGUGGUAGAGGGUGGUGGAAUUUCCUGUGUAGCGGUGAAAUGCGUAGAUAUAGGAAGGAACACCAGUGGCGAAGGCGACCACCUGGACCAACACUGACACUGAGGUGCGAAAGCGUGGGGAGCAAACAGGAUUAGAUACCCUGGUAGUCCACGCCGUAAACGAUGUCAACUAGCCGUUGGGAGCCUUGAGCUCUUAGUGGCGCAGCUAAC
rnacentral:rRNA from 1 species